rnacentral:lncRNA from 1 species
CCUACUCAGGCCCAUAGGCUCCACGGCUGGCCCAGCCUGGCUGCUGCUUUCCAUUGUGUGGGUUGGCUGCAGGCACGAGCAGGAGGCAGAGGAUCACAGUGUUACAGCCUUUUUUGUACCCACAUUUGGCAGAUCGCAAGUUCUUGUCCUGCAUUCAAGAAGAAUGAGGUUAUGCUGAAAACCAAAGAGUGAGAAGGGCAGAGAAGAGUUUUAUUGAACAAUGGAACAGCUAUCAGCAGAGAUGGGAAUCAAACAGCGUGGUCUGCCACCCUAAGGCAGGUAGCCCCCUUAGCCUGAAGUCUAUAGACAUUUACCAAAAAAAAAAGAAGAAAAAG